rnacentral:piRNA from 1 species
AACAAGGAGAGAAGGUAGAAUAA